rnacentral:rRNA from 1 species
UACGGGGGGAGCAAGCGUUGUUCGGAUUUACUGGGCGUAAAGGGCGCGUAGGCGGUCGUGACAAGUCACUUGUGAAAUCUCCGGGCUUAACUCGGAACGGUCAAGUGAUACUGUCGGACUAGAGUACAGAAGGGCAACUGGAAUUCUCGGUGUAGCGGUGAAAUGCGUAGAUAUCUGGAGGAAUACCGGUGGCGAAGGCGGCAUCCUGGACCGAAACUGACGCUUAAGCGCGAAAGCUAGGGGAGCAAACGGG